rnacentral:misc_RNA from 1 species
GAAAUGCGAUAAGUAAUGUGAAUUGCAGAAUUCAGUGAACCAUCGAAUCUUUGAACGCACAUUGCGCCCGCCAGUAUUCUGGCGGGCAUGCCUGUUCGAGCGUCAUUACAACCCUCAGGCCCCCGGGCCUGGCGUUGGGGAUCGGCGGAAGCCCCCUGCGGGCACAACGCCGUCCCCCAAAUACAGUGGCGGUCCCGCCGCAGCUUCCAUUGCGUAGUAGCUAACACCUCGCAACUGGAGAGCGGCGCGGCCACGCCGUAAAACACCCAACUUCUGAAUGUUGACCUCGAAUCAGGUAGGAAUACCCGCUGAACUUAAGC